AAUAAUGAACGUCAAAGGACCAGUUUUUGUCACUGCUUUUAAUCCUCUCAAUAUGGUUAUUGUUGCAAUUUUGGGUUCAUUCAUUUUAUCUGAGCAACUUAACUUGGGAAGGGUUGUUGGAGCUGUUGUUAUUGUAAUUGGAUUAUACCUAGUAAUAUGGGGUACGACUAAGGAA